rnacentral:rRNA from 1 species
UGUGGCCUACGGGGGGCAGCAGUGAGGAAUAUUGGUCAAUGGCCGGAAGGCUGAACCAGCCAAGUCGCGUGAGGGACGACUGCCCUAUGGGUUGUAAACCUCUUUUAUAAGGGAAGAAUAAAUGCUACGUGUAGCAUGAUGCCUGUACCUUAUGAAUAAGCAUCGGCUAACUCCGUGCCAGCAGCCGCGGUAAUACGGAGGAUGCGAGCGUUAUCCGGAUUCAUUGGGUUUAAAGGGUGCGCAGGCGGGCCUUUAAGCCGGCGGUGAAAUCGCGGGGCUCAACCCCGCC